UUAGCUAGAAGGAAUUGUAAGUCCCUCAUCUGAAUAACGUGGUGUUUAAUCCCUUUAUGUUUACCAGGUGUUUUUACAACUUUUUGAAAAAAAUAUGCUCCAAAACCCCCAUAAGUUAAAAAUUAGGAAACAAUCAAUGUGCAAUACUUCGUAUAAAAAGUUCACCUUGCAAUAAGUUAUUACUUUGUUAGAUUCAACAAUUUUCAAGAUGAUUCACUUGAUAGAAACUCAUUAAAACAGAUAUAAGAAGCAAAACUGCAAGUCCACCAUUCCUUCAAAAUCUUCACUAUCAACUCUACAUAAACUAUAUUACAAUGCAAAUGAGUAUACUGACAUUGCUGCCUCUUUUUCUUGCUAAGAUUUUGUUUCAAAUAUAUUUUAUAUUUUGAUUCAGAUUGUACUAAUGGAAACCACCUCACUCUCCGUCAGAGUCUUCAUUUUUAUUCACACUUCUUCUCUAUUAACAGAGGAUAAUGAAGAAAGAAUAUUGUGUAAUUGGAUAUAUGCAGCAGGCAUAUCUAUCGUGGACUGAUUGAUAGCGAGAUGUAAGCCGCAAGGCCUUAUGAUAAGACUGCUAUAAAGUGCAACGGAAGGGAGGCAACUACUAAUUUUGAACCAAGUACAUAUGAAGGUGAACUAAGUUCCGAGACUAAUAAUUAAGUUUACAAUGAGAUGUUUAAUUAAAAGUGGAAUGGUCAUAUGGAAGGGUUGCAAAGGCUUAUAAGAUGCUGAAGAAAGGUCUGCAAAAUGGUAUCUCUCCAGAUUUAUUGACUUACACCAUUCUCAUAUCUCGGAGCUGCAAGCUAGCAGAUAACAGGCAAGUCUUUGCCUUUUUUAGUAAGAUGGUCAAAGUUGGUAUCAGCCCCGAUAUUCUUAUAUAUACCACAUUAUUAUUGCCUUCUGUUGGCAAAACAAAAUAAAAGAGAGUGAAAGCUCUUUGAUGAUGCUAUAAUUUUAUGUUUGAUACCUACCAAUUACCAAAGAGACUUUCAACCUUUGCAACCCUUCCCUUUUUACAACCUUUAUCAAAAGAUGGCUUUAUGACGACCUAUACAAAUCCAUAAGGUCAUAAACAUAGCAAGUUGCACAAUCUGUUAUAUAUGUAUACAACAGGAUAUAUCUUCUUUAUAUCAUUACAACAACAAAUAUUUUUAUUGGUCACACUCUAACAUAAUGUCCAAUGCGUUUUGAACUAGAAUGCACACCAAGAAUGUUAUAUAAGAUGGAUGCAACGGAGUAUAUGUUGUCUAUUUGUGGCCCUCUCAGAUGGCUAAUCUCCCCUGAAAAAAGGGAAAGCUUCUUCUACUUGACAAAUGAUAACAAAUACAUGAUCAAAAGAAUGAAAAAGGCAAAAAUAAAGGCCUUGGAGAGCACCAUACUUCUAAGUUAACUUCACAGCUACUGGGGAAAUUCCUUAGAAUAGUAUUGUCAUUUGGUCUUAAAUCAUACUUGGGUCACAAUAUUGGCCCCAAUGGAAUUUAUCUAUUUAUUUUUUGUUUUAAUUCUUUUGAAUUCGAUCGCUAAAUUUAAUCUGCAAUAUACAUAUGUUUCUAUUA